rnacentral:rRNA from 1 species
UACGUAGGGUGCGAGCGUUGUCCGGAAUUAUUGGGCGUAAAGAGCUCGUAGGCGGGUUGUCACGUCGGAUGUGAAAUCCCGGGGCUUAACUCCGGGCCUGCAUUCGAUACGGGCUGACUAGAGUUCGGCAGGGGAGACUGGAAUUCCUGGUGUAGCGGUGAAAUGCGCAGAUAUCAGGAGGAACACCGGUGGCGAAGGCAGAUCUCUGGGCCGUUACUGACGCUGAGGAGCGAAAGCAUGGGGAGCGAACAGG